AAAGAACUAUUUGCCUUCCAUGGGUCUGCAGAAUGUUCAUGAAGUCACCUGUGAUGAAACAUCUACAGGACUUUGGAGAGGAGAGUGUGAACAUAGCCCCCCCACUACCACAAAUGAUGCUGUCGUAUUUCCCAUAUUUGGGAAGAUCCCACAUUUGGGGGAAAUCACCGGGGUCAGCACAUCUGGAGUGCAAUGGAUGAGCCAGCCCUGGAAAACCCACCUUUGUGAUCAUGGUUCUCCCCCACCAGGCCGACUCUGAUUGGAUAGGACGACUUUCAUAUCUGGAAAAGUAAACACUAAGAAAAAAAAAAUCUGAAGCCUUAAUUCAAAAGAAGGGGGAGGCCGAGCUGAGGAUAAUCCAGGAACAUCCAGGAUUUGGGAGGAGCCUACCGAAGUGAAGAAGACAAAAAUAAAAGGAGGAAGUGAGGCGGCAGGAAGUAAAAGGUAAAGGAAGGGGAUGUGGAGAGGCGCCUGAUUCUCUCCCGAGCAUGCGUGAAGUUGUGCCGGUAGCUUGUCCUGGCCCCUGUUCUCUGGCAAGGCAUGCCCGGUGAAUGCAGAGUCCAACAGAGACGUGGGGUCGCCAGGCUGUUUCCUUCUUCAUCUCCAUGGUGGCACCACACCCAGAUUCCUUUCUUGUCAAACUUGUUUCCAGUCACCAAGUCCUCUAGUCUACGACCUCUUGGUCAAACCGUCUGUUACCCAGGACACAAAUAGAUCGAGGGUGUCAGAUGACGUGGUAGUUCGGUGGAGAGAAGACAGUUGGAGCGGACCCUGCCUUGCCUGCAGGCUCCUCCUUGCCCCCACCUCCUGCACCUUUAAAAGUAACUCCUCUUUUGCCGCCUUUGUCUGUCUGAAUCCCUUAAGUCACUGGGGGCCCAUGGGUGUGACUCAUACUUCUUUUUAUCUCUGUGCUUUGGCGUUUUCAUGCUCUCUUGGGAGCUGACUGGUAGAACAUUUGCGUCAGUUCUACUUUUCAGGGGGAUGGGGGCCACAAAAUUGGGUGACGCCCCAACUUGAACUGUAUUGCUCUAUAGGAAUGACAUGAAUACUGUGUGUCCUGUGUCAUUCUGUCUUGUGACACUACAUGAAGUGGUGAGCAUCCUGUGACCACAUCUGGAACUCAAAGCCACUUCUCCUGGAACCCAUUAAUGUCCACUAAUACGCUUACACAGUCCUCGCCACAUGCCUGAUGCCUGCUCAGUCUCUGCAAACCUUGUUCCCCAGAUGGUAUCCUCUGCCCCCUGGCAAAAAUUGCCAGGGUCACUCCACAAGCUGUGAACACACCAAAGGAAAGGAGUGCCAUGUGAAGGAGCUAAGACCUGUUCCUGAGUGACAGAAUGAUGCAGCCCCACCACCCCACCCAUGCACACCACAGUCACUUUCUCACAGCCCUAAGUACAAAGAUUGGGGUAUAAGCACCCAGUGAAAAACUCCUUUGCUUCCUUGAACAGGUCAGAAUGGGAUCCAAACGGGGGUUACCUUUCAAAAAAAUAUUUACUGAGAGAUUAUUAUGGGUCAGGCAUUGCAUUUUGAAUAAAGCGACUGUU